AUAGCAACUGUAGCAAAUUUCCCAAUUUCCAGCUCGUUGUCUGCGAUUGUUCCAAUUUCUAGAUCCUAGUUUGUGAUCAUCUUUGAAGGCUUGAAGAUUAACAUUCUGGUGUAUAAACUUGUUAAUGGAGAGAGCAGAUGGAGGUUUCCAUAUUGGGAUAUUUAUUUAAUGUUGAUCCUGGGGAAGCCGGAUUGGUAGAGUUGAUGGUGAGGUCGGGAGAUCGUUUGAUGGGAAUUUGGUUUCAAAUAUUCAAGCUCUACUUUGGAAGUGAAGGGAGUGAAGUUGGAUGAAAUGGCAAACUUGUUCCCAAUAUAUGCAUCAUGCUUCCCUUCCCCUUAUGGAGAUGCUACAUCUAGCUCUAGGUCUUUGUCCAGAUCUUGCUCCAGGGUUGUCUUCUCAUGUUACAAAGGAUGAACUAGAGAAGUAUUUUGCCACUGAAGGAAAGGUGAUUGAUUACGUCUUGUGGUGGAUCCAUAGUCAAGAGAGUCUUGUGGCUUUGGCUUUGUUACCAUGGAGAGAAUUGAAGAUGCAAACCGUUGCCUCAAAUAUCUUGAUGGUCAGUGCUUGAAGGUCGGGUUAUCACUGUUGAAAAGGCUAGCUGUGCGUAGCUGCUCUUCAUCAAACUUCAAAAGCUUUAUCCUAACAAUCAAAUCAAACCUGAUCAAGCAAAACCAGACAAUAUAAGCAAGGGCUAGGAGGAGACGUGGUCAAAUACCCACUCUAAGCCAAUAUCUUGGUGCAAGGACCUUUCAUUGGAAAAUUUCUCCAUUAGAAGGGUGGAAUGAACAUGAAUAUGGGGACACAAUGCUCGACAUUGAGAAAAUAUGAUUCAGAAAAACAAACUACUCAGCAAUUUGUUGCUUCUAUCCCUCCAGAGGUUAUAAGUAAGCUGGAAUGAAAGAGCAGAAGUAACGGAACCAGUACAUCCUUUUUCUCUUACAAUCUCAAGGUAUUCAAGUAAAUUUUGAGAUAGCUCCUCGUACCUCACAUGCUACUAUCAGGACGGGGGAAGUUUUCUUCCCAUGCCCCUCACACUUCAGAGGAUAUUGAAUAGCCACAACCUUCAACCCAAUAGGAAGAUAAGGGUGUCGAUGAAAUUACAACAAAAUGAAUGUAAUAUUUUGGAUUAUUACAUUAGAUAUUUUUAUAACUUUUUGUUGUUAUAUUAGAUGUUAAGACUAUUAUAUUUUGUA